CCCUAAGUUAUCACUAAGUGGGAAACGAUGUGGGAAUGCUUAGACAACCAGGAGGUUGGCUUAGAAGCAGCCAUCCUUUAAAGAAAGCGUAACAGCUCACUGGUCUAAAUAAGCCGUCCUGCGCCGAAGAUGUAUCGGGGCUCAAACUAUGUACCGAAGCUGAGGAUUCAAUUAUCUUACGGGAUAAUUGUCUGGUAGCGGAGCGUUCCGUAAGCCUGCGAAGGUGGUCCGUGAGGACUGCUGGAGGUAUCGGAAGUGAGAAUGCUGACAUGAGUAGCGACAAAGAGGGUGAGAGACCCUCUCGCCGAAAGUCCAAGGUUUCCUGCGCAAUGCUAAUCAGCGCAGGGUUAGUCGGCCCCUAAGGCGAGGCAGAAAUGCGUAGUCGAUGGGAAGCAGGUUAAUAUUCCUGCACCAGUGGGUAGUGACGGAUCUCGUGUGUCGUCAGUCCUUAUCGGAUUGAACUGGCGGCGAAGAGGUCCCUGGAAAUAGCUCCCACAUUAGACCGUACCCCAAACCGACACAGGUGGACUGGUAGAGCAUACCAAGGCGCUUGAGAGAACUCUGCUGAAGGAACUAGGCAAAAUGG
rnacentral:rRNA from 1 species